rnacentral:rRNA from 1 species
AUUGAACGCUGGCGGCAGGCCUAACACAUGCAAGUCGAACGAGUGGCGGACGGGUGAGGAAUGUCUGGGAAACUGCCUGAUGGAGGGGGAUAACUACUGGAAACGGUAGCUAAUACCGCAUACCAUCGGAUGUGCCCAGAGGGGGUUAGCUAGUAGGUGGGGUAAAGGCUCACCUAGGCGACGAUCCCUAGCUGGUCUGAGAGGAUGACCAGCCACCCUGGACCUGAGACACGGUCCAGCCUCCGACGGGAGGCAGCAGUGGGGAAUAUUGCACAAUGGGCUCAAGCCUGAUGAAGCCAUGCCUCGUGUAUGAAGAAGGCCUUCGGGUUGUAAAGUACUUUCAGCGGGGAGGCGUUACCCGCAGAAGAAGCACCGGCUAACUCCGUGCCAGCAGCCGCGGUAAUUC